rnacentral:lncRNA from 1 species
GAAAUAAAAACACGUCCACGGAUGCGGGCAGCCCCAGGUGGUCGCACAUCACUUGGAAAGCUCGAACAAACGCCCAGCUGUUGGGGUGAAGCUGGGCGGCGGCAAUGUUGAGCUCGGUAAGGAGUUCCCUCUCGAAUCGGGUGAAGGGAAACUUCAGUUUCACCUUCUUGAAUAGUGUUGUGUAGACGAAGCAGAAGGGCCCG